GACGAACGCUGGCGGCGUGCCUAAUACAUGCAAGUUGAGCGCUGAAGGUUGGUACUUGUACCGACUGGAUGAGCAGCGAACGGGUGAGUAACGCGUGGGGAAUCUGCCUUUGAGCGGGGGACAACAUUUGGAAACGAAUGCUAAUACCGCAUAAAAACUUUAAACACAGGUUUUAAGUUUGAAGGAUGCAAUUGCAUCACUCAAAGAUGAUCCCGCGUUGUAUUAGCUAGUUGGUGAGGUACAGGCUCACCAAGGCGAUGAUACAUAGCCGACCUGAGAGGGUGAUCGGCCACAUUGGGACUGAGACACGGCCCAAACUCCUACGGGAGGCAGCAGUAGGGAAUCUUCGGCAAUAGACGAAAGUCUGACCGAGCAACGCCGCGUGAGUGAAGAAGGUUUUCGGAUCGUAAAACUCUGUUGGUAGAGAAGAACGUUGGUGAGAGUGGAAAGCUCAUCAAGUGACGGUAACUACCCAGAAAGGGACGGCUAACUACGUG
rnacentral:rRNA from 1 species